GCCUCCCCAGCAGGUAGCCUAAGUGCAGCAUAAGUCUGCUGGGGACGCGCUAGCGACCAAGGACCCGCCCAGGCCACUCUUUUAGGCAAGCGCGGGGCGGGCCCGGCCGGGGGCGGUGCCGCUCAUACGGCUCCUAUAAGGAGCUGUCCGCCACCCCGGUGCUGAAUCCAGCUCUAACACCGGAACGAGGUGCUUUUGGCUAUUGCUGGAGCUGAGCGCCAAGAGCUGCCCUCGAGUUUGGAUUUGAACCUUUAAGGAAGGAGAUCCGGAGGAAGAAGAGGCAGACGAGGAAGGCGGGCACAGAAAGGGGCAGUUGAAGGAACUAUAAACCUCGGUCGCAGCUCGCAGCUCCGAGGAAGCCCUGCCACUGUUUCGGUGGAGCGUCUGAGGAGCAGGAUGGAGUAAAGGAGAAGAGUGUCUGUUCAAGGGGGGUGGGAGGGGGCUCGGCGGUGCGGAGGAGAGAAAACAGAGACAGAAAGGAAAAAGAGAGAAAAGCCAAAGCUGGUGCCUGCGAAUUUGGAAUUCGAUUGGAAGAGAUCGUUCACUCGGGGGAAAUGGAUUCUGUACCAAGACUGACGAGCGUUUUGACUUUGGUGCUCUCUGGCUUCUGGCAUUUAGGAUUAACAGCAACAAAUUACAACUGUGUUGAC